rnacentral:rRNA from 1 species
AUUGAACGCUGGCGGCAGGCCUAACACAUGCAAGUCGAACGAGUGGCGGACGGGUGAGUAAUGUCUGGGAAACUGCCUGAUGGAGGGGGAUAACUACUGGAAACGGUAGCUAAUACCGCAUACCAUCGGAUGUGCCCAGAUGGGAUUAGCUAGUAGGUGGGGUAAAGGCUCACCUAGGCGACGAUCCCUAGCUGGUCUGAGAGGAUGACCAGCCACACGGGAACUGAGACACGGUCCAGACUCCUACGGGAGGCAGCAGUGGGGAAUAUUGCACAAUGGGCGCAAGCCUGAUGCAGCCAUGCCGCGUGUAUGAAGAAGGCCUUCGGGUUUUAAAGUACUUCCAGCGGGGAGGCGUUACCUGUAGAAGACGGACCGGCUAACCCCGUCCCAGCAGCCGCGGUAAUAC